rnacentral:rRNA from 1 species
CAGCACUAAGUGGGUGGUAAACUCCAUCUAAAACUAAAUAUAACCAUGAGACCGAUAGCAAACAAGUACCGUGAGGGAAAGUUGAAAAGAACUCUGAAUAGAGAGUUAAAUAGUACGUGAAACUGCUUAGAGGUUAAGCCUGAUGAACCUGAAUAUCCGUUGUAGAAAAUUCAUCAUCAAUUGUGUAAUAUUUUCUUAAUAUUGUAUCAAUGGUGUGCACUUUUUCUACUUAAGGACAUUGUAAUCCGUUAAUGUUUAAAUGCGUAUUAUAAGAACAUUUACAAUAGUUUUUACAUUAUUUAACUUGUUGAAUAUGUUUAAAUGUUGAUGCUUCGAAUAUGCCAUUGACGGAUUUUUAUGUAUAUUGCACUUAAAUCUUCUGAUUUUAUAAUAGUAUGAUUAUCAUUGAUUUUUGUAUUUAUUAUAUGUGCAUAUAUGAUUGACAAUGCGAAAGAUUCAGGAUACCUUCAGGACCC